CCUACGGGGUGCUGCAGUGGGGAAUAUUGCACAAUGGGCGCAAGCCUGAUGCAGCCAUGCCGCGUGUGUGAAGAAGGCCUUCGGGUUGUAAAGCACUUUCAGCGGGGAGGAAGGCGGUGAGGUUAAUAACCUCAUCGAUUGACGUUACCCGCAGAAGAAGCACUGGCUAACUCCGUGCCAGCAGCCGCGGUAAUACGGAGGGUGCAAGCGUUAAUCGGAAUUACUGGGCGUAAAGCGCACGCAGGCGGUCUGUCAAGUCGGAUGUGAAAUCCCCGGGCUCAACCUGGGAACUGCAUUCGAAACUGGCAGGCUAGAGUCUUGUAGAGGGGGGUAGAAUUCCAGGUGUAGCGGUGAAAUGCGUAGAGAUCUGGAGGAAUACCGGUGGCGAAGGCGGCCCCCUGGACAAAGACUGACGCUCAGGUGCGAAAGCGUGGGGAGCAAACAGGAUUAGAUACCCCAGUAGUC
rnacentral:rRNA from 1 species